rnacentral:misc_RNA from 1 species
CACGUAGGGCGCGAGCGUUGUCCGGAAUUAUUGGGCGUAAAGGGCUCGUAGGCGGUUUGUCGCGUCGAAAGUGAAAAUCCGGGGCUCAACCCCGGACCUGCUUUCGAUACGGGCAGGCUAGAGGUAGGCAGGGGAGAAUGGAAUUCCUGGUGUAGCGGUGGAAUGCGCAGAUAUCAGGAGGAACACCGGUGGCGAAGGCGGUUCUCUGGGCCUUACCUGACGCUGAGGAGCGAAAGCGUGGGGAGCGAACAGG